GCAGUCGAGCGAACAGAUAAGGAGCUUGCUCCUUUGAAGUUAGCGGCGGACGGGUGAGUAACACGUGGGUAACCUACCUAUAAGACUGGGAUAACUUCGGGAAACCGGAGCUAAUACCGGAUAACAUUUAGAACCGCAUGGUUCUAAAGUGAAAGAUGGUUUUGCUAUCACUUAUAGAUGGACCCGCGCCGUAUUAGCUAGUUGGUAAGGUAACGGCUUACCAAGGCGACGAUACGUAGCCGACCUGAGAGGGUGAUCGGCCACACUGGAACUGAGACACGGUCCAGACUCCUACGGGAGGCAGCAGUAGGGAAUCUUCCGCAAUGGGCGAAAGCCUGACGGAGCAACGCCGCGUGAGUGAUGAAGGGUUUCGGCUCGUAAAACUCUGUUAUUAGGGAAGAACAAAUGUGUAAGUAACUGUGCACAUCUUGACGGUACCUAAUCAGAAAGCCACGGCUAACUACGUGCCAGCAGCCGCGGUAAUACGUAGGUGGCAAGCGUUAUCCGGAAUUAUUGGGCGUAAAGCGCGCGUAGGCGGUUUCUUAAGUCUGAUGUGAAAGCCCACGGCUCAACCGUGGAGGGUCAUUGGAAACUGGGAAACUUGAGUGCAGAAGAGGAAAGUGGAAUUCCAUGUGUAGCGGUGAAAUGCGCAGAGAUAUGGAGGAACACCAGUGGCGAAGGCGACUUUCUGGUCUGUAACUGACGCUGAUGUGCGAAAGCGUGGGGAUCAAACAGGAUUAGAUACCCUGGUAGUCCACGCCGUAAACGAUGAGUGCUAAGUGUUAGGGGGUUUCCGCCCCUUAGUGCUGCAGCUAACGCAUUAAGCACUCCGCCUGGGGAGUACGACCGCAAGGUUGAAACUCAAAGGAAUUGACGGGGACC
rnacentral:rRNA from 1 species